rnacentral:misc_RNA from 1 species
GUCCAUCACAAAGAAAGCACGAAAUAGGAGGGCGUUGCAUACCUUGGUCUUCCUUCUGAACCUUGUGGUGCCCUUCCUUCGGCUUGUACGGUCUAUAGCUUCCAUCUUUGCCAUGGCUGGAGCUUCCCUCGUUCCUCUCCUUUUGUGGACUUGAAUUCCUUUCACGCUUAUGGAGCUCUAUGAGGGACUCAGCAAUGGAGACAGCAGUGGCUAAGUCUCGUGCUCCACGCCGCUCGAUCUCCAACCUUGCCCAAUUCUGUAGGCCAUCAGUGAAGGCAAAGAGAGCUUCCGUAUCUGGGUAGUCCGGGAUCUCCAAUAGGGUCUCCAUGAACUCCUUCACAUACUCCCGAAUGUUCCCCUUGUGUGAUAGACGCCUCAGCUUGGCUCUUGCCUCGUGUGCAGCAUUCUCCGGGUAGAACUGUCUCUUUAACUCUCUCUUAAAAUCAUCCCAGGUGGAGAUAGUGCACGUACCUCUUUCAAUGUCUAGUAGCCUCCUGCGCCACCAGACCAUUGCGGUGUCUGCCAGGUAUAGUGGGGCAUGAUCGAUCUUCCUGGCAUCCUCCGUAAUCCCAAGCGCCCUAAAAUAUUGCUCCAAACUCCACAGGAAAUUAUCAAUCUCCUUUGCAUUCCUUCCUCCAUGGAACGCAUUCGGCUUAGGUACCUCCACCCUAGCCGUGGGAGCAAUCGAGGUAGUGGCAGCACCCACAACACUACCUUGCAGUAUAGCCAUUCGGACCAAGGACAUUUGCUCCUCCAUGUCCUUGACCUUCCCCAUCACCCUAUCAAGUUCCUCCCGUAGGAACCUAUUUUCUUCCCUUAAAGCAGCAACCUCAUUAGAGAAGGAAAUUUUGAGAGACUCACCUUCUCCCAUUAUCUUGUCGACGGCUCGGUUGAGGGCCCCUUGCAUCUCUUCUCGGAACUCUUCCAUCCCUCCGUCGAGUUCCUCUAUGCGGGUGUCCAACUCCUCAACUUUCUCAUCUCCAUCGAUCAAGUGGAGCUCUAUCUUGGCAAGCCGUGUCUCAAGGUCCCCAAGCUCCUCCCUGGCUCGGCUGGGAUCUCUGGACUUGCCCCUCCUUCUCCUGCUGCCUUGCUCCACAACCGUAGGAGCAACA